rnacentral:rRNA from 1 species
GGUUUUAAAUUUAAAAAUGAUAAUCUCUAUUAAAUAAAACUUAAAGGACGCGGUAACCUUGACCGUGAUAAUGUAGCAUAAUCACUCGCCAUUUAAUUGAUGGAUAGUAUGAAUGGUUGAACGAAUAUUCCACUGUCUUAGAAAAAGAUUAUCAAAAAUUAAAAUAAUAGUUAAGAUGCUAUUUAAAAUUGUAAGACGAAAAGACCCUAUAGAGCUUAACUACAGUCUUUUUAAAAAAUAAAAAGAAAGACAGGUAGUUUAAUUGGGGCGAUUAUCUUCUAAAACUAACGAAGAUGAGUAAUAUCAAUAAAAUAAUAAUUGUUUAAUAAAUAUAUUUAACAAAUACUAAAGUAGACUAUAAUGACCCGUUAUUUAUUAAUAAAAAUGAUAACGAUUAACAAAUAAAAGCUACCUUAGGGAUAACAGGAUAAUUUCAUUUUAGAGAUCCCAUCGAAAAUGAAGUUUGUCACCUCUAUGUUGAAUUAAGAUAUCCUGAUAAUGCAGAA